rnacentral:sRNA from 1 species
UGCAUCUGAAGUCUGACGAGGAUGAGAACCUCCGGGGGCAAGAGGUUCGACUCGAGCGAAGCGAGAGAACGUUGCGUCAGCAACGGCCCGCAGGGCGGGCCACGCAGUGGCGAGUCAUCCUCUAUCACCGACCA